rnacentral:rRNA from 1 species
UACGUAGGGUCCGAGCGUUGUCCGGAAUUAUUGGGCGUAAAGGGCUCGUAGGCGGUUUGUCGCGUCGGGAGUGAAAACACGGGGCUUAACCCCGUGCCUGCUUCCGAUACGGGCAGACUAGAGGUAUGCAGGGGAGAACGGAAUUCCUGGUGUAGCGGUGAAGUGCGCAGAUAUCAGGAGGAACACCGGUGGCGAAGGCGACUCGCUGGGCUCUUGCUGACACUGAAUCACGACAGCGUGGGGAGCAAACAGG